rnacentral:rRNA from 1 species
GACGAACGCUGGCGGCGUGCUUAACACAUGCAAGUCGAACGGUGAAAGCGGAGCUUGCUCCGCUGGAUCAGUGGCGAACGGGUGAGUAACACGUGGGCAACCUGCCCCUCACUUCGGGAUAACUCCGGGAAACCGGGGCUAAUACCGGAUAUGACCUCCUUGGGCAUCCUUGGCGGUGGAAAGUUUUUCGGUGAGGGAUGGGCCCGCGGCCUAUCAGCUUGUUGGUGAGGUAGUGGCUCACCAAGGCGACGACGGGUAGCCGGCCUGAGAGGGUGACCGGCCACACUGGGACUGAGACACGGCCCAGACUCCUACGGGAGGCAGCAGUGGGGAAUAUUGCACAAUGGGCGAAAGUCUGACGGAGCAACGCCGCGUGAGUGAUGAAGGCUUUCGGGUCGUAAAACUCUGUUGUUAGGGAAGAACAAGUGCUAGUUGAAUAAGCUGGCACCUUGACGGUACCUAACCAGAAAGCCACGGCUAACUACGUGCCAGCCGCCGCUGUAA